rnacentral:tRNA from 1 species
AACACAAUUAACCAAAUAAAGCUUCUAACUUCUAUUUUAAGCGGUAACUCCGUUUUUGUGUUU